GAUGAACGCUGGCGGCGUGCCUAAUACAUGCAAGUCGAGCGAACGGACGAGAAGCUUGCUUCUCUGAUGUUAGCGGCGGACGGGUGAGUAACACGUGGAUAACCUACCUAUAAGACUGGGAUAACUUCGGGAAACCGGAGCUAAUACCGGAUAAUAUUUUGAACCGCAUGGUUCAAAAGUGAAAGACGGUCUUGCUGUCACUUAUAGAUGGAUCCGCGCUGCAUUAGCUAGUUGGUAAGGUAACGGCUUACCAAGGCAACGAUGCAUAGCCGACCUGAGAGGGUGAUCGGCCACACUGGAACUGAGACACGGUCCAUGCUCCUACGGGAGGCAGCAGUAGCGAAUCUUCCGCAAUGGGCGAAAGCCUGACGGAGCAACGCCGCGUGAGUGAUGAAGGUCUUCGGAUCGUAAAACUCUGUUAUUAGGGAAGAACAUAUUUGUAAGUAACUGUGCACAGCUUGACGGUACCUAAUCAGAAAGCCACGGCUAACUACGUG
rnacentral:rRNA from 1 species